rnacentral:lncRNA from 1 species
UUUAAGGCAUCCACCCCCGUGAUUACGGGGCAGGGCGAGGUCACUUCGUCCGUCGCUCCGGCUCCGUUUUUUCGCCACGUGGCUCCCAUGCGUGGGGGGUCGUGGGCGGCGAAGUUGGGAGGCCGAGCCGUCAUGGGAGGAGACGGCGAGUCGGCCCCGCUCCUCUGCCCUCCUCGUGCCCUGAUUGGCUGAACGGGGCGGCCGAGCCCCCACCUCGCCCUUUAAAAAGGGCAGAAGGGGAGCACAAUAAUCCCGCACUUCCUCUUCUUCCUUUGUCCUCAUCUUCCAUUACUCUUCCUUCCAUCUGCCAUGGAGGGAGGGAACCUCGGUCCUUCAUCUGUGGUGGCGAGGGUCGCCACCAGGCAGCGCACCUCUCCCUAUCCUGCGCCCAUGGUGGCGGAGCCAGCCACGAGGGGUAGAGGGAGGGGGCGAGGCCGCGGACGGGGUCGUGGACGUGGUCGGGGCGCUCGGGGGAGAGGCGGCCGGGGGGGGUGCGCCACCCCCGUCUCCGCCGGCAGCUCCUCUCCUUGAGGCGGUCCACACUGGGGACGACCCCUGGGAGUUCUUCAUCAAGCUGCGCCGAGGACCUCGUCGCCGCCUCCGGCUACCGGCCCCGUUCGCGAGCGCGAUGGAACCGGAUCCGCCCGAGAUGUUGGAGUUGCGCAUGAGGGGCUGCGGGAUCAGCGGCACUCGAGUUAGUGUCGUAUCCCCAGCCCCCGGUGUGAUGUACUUCGACCGAGGGUGGAAGACGUUCGCCCGCAUCCACAGCUUGACGGUGGGGUUUACCCUCCAUUUUAAGGUAAUGGAGGGUGACCUUCUCGCCGUCAAGGUCUUCGGGGACUCCAGCACCCGGGCGAGAUGCUGUGUGGACAGCUCCUCCGAUAGCGAAGGCCCGUCCUCGAGCGAGAGUGACGAGGAGGGGAGCGACAGCGACGACGAGGACGGCGGGUCCGACUAGGCGUCGGACGCUGCCUCGCGCGCCACCGGCGACCCCAUCAUCUGGGUCGCCGGCCUUCUGAACUCCCCGGGGCCGUCUCCUUGGGCGGCUGGCGUAGGGAGGCUGCGGAAGAGGAAGAGGGGUGGCAGCAAGGCCGUCAAGUCGGAGUACGAGGGCGAGGUGCCCUCGACAGCGUGCUGACGUCCUGCCGUCCCGUCUUCAAGCUCUGCCUCCGGCGCCUCCGUCUCCGCCAAGCUCCUGGCCGGCCCCCGGGAAGUUCUCUUGGUGUCUUCUAGCACCCGUAGCUCACCUAGGCGCCCCUUUUGCCCUCCCCGGCAAGCUUCUCUUGCCGGGGCCUCCUUGACCUACCUCCUGAAGAGAGAAACAGGAGAGGGAUUACGGGCAUCUUAUCUUUCAAUUUGUAAGCCUUCGGGCCUUAGCUGUAUUUAAAAUCUGUAAUCCUCUCUAUCAUGUUUUUCAUCCUCUAUGGACUUGUACUAAACUGGGAUGUUUUUAAUGAAAAGAGGGGAGCGCUUACCAGAUUAAGUCCUUUACUCGAUUUUGUGCCUUGCAUUUUCCCACCCUACGCUUCUAGGGAACUUGUCGGCGCAAACAUGCGUGCUGAGUGCGGAAAGUCAGCAGCCCGCUGGUGGUGUUGCGUCUGGCAAGAAACCUUGCCAGGCCAGUUGCAGCGCGCUUGUAUUGUUGAGCGGACUCGGAAACAAAUCAAGGGCGCAACUUGGCCGCGACUCGGCUCCUCCGCGCACAGGUUUCUUUUUACAAGGCACACUCGCUCAAGGACGCGGCCCCACCUUUCCUAGUCCAUAAGAGGAUGCAUGACGAGGGAUGAAAAACUUAUCUGACAUCGCAGCCCCCCCGCGAUCCUAGCUUGUC